rnacentral:tRNA from 1 species
GGAUAUAUAGCUCAGUGGUAGAGCACUUGCCUAGCAAGCGCAAGGCCCUGGGUUCGGUCCCCAGCUCCG